rnacentral:rRNA from 1 species
UACCAGCACCCCGAGUGGUCGGGACGAUUAUUGGUCCUAAAGCAUCCGUAGCCGGCCUUACAAGUCCUCCGUUAAAUCCAGCUGCUUAACAGAUGGGCUGCGGAGGAUACUAUAAGACUAGGAGGCAGGAGAGGCAAGCGGUACUCAGUGGGUAGGGGUAAAAUCCGUUGAUCCAUUGAAGACCACCAGUGGCGAAGGCGGCUUGCCAGAAUGCGCUCGACGGUGAGGGAUGAAAGCUGGGGGAGCAAACCGG